rnacentral:rRNA from 1 species
UAUUCUCUGAGGAGGAAAGGGUGGGACCUUAAGGCCACCUGCCAUAAGAUGAGCCCAAGUGGGAUUAGGUAGUUGGUGGGGUAAAGGCCUACCAAGCCUGCGAUCUCUAGCUGGUCUGAGAGGAUGACCAGCCACACUGGAACUGAGACACGGUCCAGACUCCUACGGGAGGCAGCAGUGGGGAAUAUUGCGCAAUGGGGGGAACCCUGACGCAGCCAUGCCGCGUGAAUGAAGAAGGCCUUCGGGUUGUAAAGUUCUUUCGGUAAUGAGGAAGGGAUGUUGUUAAAUAGAUAGCAUCAUUGACGUUAAUUACAGAAGAAGCACCGGCUAACUCCGUGCCAGCAGCCGCGGUAAUACGGAGGGUGCGAGCGUUAAUCGGAAUAACUGGGCGUAAAGGGCACGCAGGCGGACUUUUAAGUGAGAUGUGAAAUCCCCGAGCUUAACUUGGGAACUGCAUUUCAGACUGGGAGUCUAGAGUACUUUAGGGAGGGGUAGAAUUCCACGUGUAGCGGUGAAAUGCGUAGAGAUGUGGAGGAAUACCGAAGGCGAAGGCAGCCCCUUGGGAAUGUACUGACGCUCAUGUGCGAAAGCGUGGGGAGCAAACAGGAUUAGAUACCCUGGUAGUCCACGCUGUAAACGCUGUCGAUUUGGGGAUUGGGCUAUAUGCUUGGUGCCCGAAGCUAACGUGAUAAAUCGACCGCCUG